GCCAGAAUUGCUGUGUGUUGAAGACUCUGAUACUGCCCUAUGUCUGUCAAGCAUUAUGUCAAGAAUCAAAGGAACUUUGAAUGAUAGAACAGUAUAUCCACCAUCUCUGCACCCAUGACGUUUAGAGCAACAGGUUGUAGGCCAUCAGAUAAUCAGAUUCUUGGAAAAUGAUUACCAGCAAGAUUCACUUCAACUUGUUGCUUGACAGGUCAGUGAUGCAUUGAAAACUUGCCUGAUGUUCGGCAAAUGGUUGAUACGUUUCUGACACCCGUGAGUUUUAGACUGAGUUAUAUUCAUCUUCACUCCCUAUUAACUUGAUGAUGCUGUACAGAGAAGCAACUGAAGAUUUUCACUUUAAUCAUCUGGAAAAAUGCAAGACUGUAAAUGAUCACAACAACAACUUACACUACAGGUGAAAAAAGAUACGGAUUAUUGGCAGGAAAAUCGAGUCUGAUUGGCUGAGGUGUCACAUGGAGAAAGCUGGUAGAGGUUUCUGACGCCUAUGAAUAAUUUAAUAAAAGCACAAAAUAUAAACAGUUUCCUCUUGUUUGCAAAGAACUGGUCACAGAAUAUUACUCACAGU